UUUUGGCGGGAAGUCUAGUCU
rnacentral:misc_RNA from 1 species